rnacentral:rRNA from 1 species
GACACGAUCUCGGCAAUGGAUAUCUCGGCUCUUGCAUCGAUGAAGAGCGCAGCGAAAUGCGAUACGUGGUGCGAAUUGCAGAAUCCCGCGAAC